rnacentral:rRNA from 1 species
ACUCCUACGGGAGGCAGCAGUGGGGAAUAUUGCACAAUGGGGGAAACCCCUGAUGCAGCCAUGCCGCGUGUGUGAAGAAGGCCUUCGGGUUGUAAAGCACUUUCAGUAGGGAGGAAGGUAGUGUAGUUAACACCUGCACUAUUUGACGUUACCUACAGAAGAAGCACCGGCUAACUCGUGCCAGCAGCCUCGGUAAGUACGGAGGGUGCGAGCGUUAAUCGGAAUUACUGGGCGUAAAGCGCAUGCAGGCGGCCUGUUAAGUCAGAUGUGAAAGCCCGGGGCUUAACCUCGGAAUUGCAUUUGAAACUGGCAGGCUAGAGUCUUGUAGAGGGGGGUAGAAUUUCAGGUGUAGCGGUGAAAUGCGUAGAGAUCUGAAGGAAUACCAGUGGCGAAGGCGGCCCCCUGGACAAAGACUGACGCUCAGAUGCGAAAGCGUGGGGAGCAAACAGGAUUAGAUACCCUGGUAGGAUAG